rnacentral:antisense_RNA from 4 species
CUCUAUGGCGGCUGUGCUUGGGGCACCUUCGGGUGCGCCGGGUUCACACGUGACCGGUCCGUCAACCCAAGUACAGUUGCCACCCUU